UUUGAAUACUUUUUUAAAUAAUAAUAUAUGCAUUGCAUUCGUUAAGUAUUCAGACCCCUUGACUUUUUCCACAUUUUUUACAUGGAUAAAAAAACAUUUCCUCAUCAAUCUACACACAAUAACCCAUAAUGACAAAGUGGAAACAGGUCUUUAGGAUUUUUGGCACAUGUAUUCAAAAUAAAAAACAGAAAUACCUUAUUUACAUAAGUAUGCAUAACCUUUGUUAUGAGACUCGAAAUUGAGCUCAGGUGCAUCCUGUUUCCAUUGAUCAUCCUUUAGAUGUUUCUACAACUUGAUUGGAGUCCAACUGUGGUAAAUUCAAUAGAUUGGACAUGAUUUGGAAAGGCACACACCUGUCUAUAUAAAGUCCCACAGUUGACAGUGCAUGUCAGAGCAAAAACCAAGCCAUGAGGUCGAAGGAAUUGUCUGUAGAGCUCCGAGACAGGAAUGUGUCGAGGCACAGAUCUGGGGAAGGGUACUAAAAAAUGUCUGCAGCAUUGAAGGUCUCUAAGAACACAGUUUCCUCCAUCAUUCUUAAAUGGAAGAAGUUUGGAAUCACCAAGACUCUUCCUAGAGCUGGCUGCUCGGCCAAACUGAGCAAUCUCGUGAGAAGGGCCUUGGUCAGGGAGGUGACCAAGAACCUGAUGGUCACACUGACAGAGCUCCAGAGUACCUUGGUGAAGAAGGGAGAACCUUCCAGAAGGACAACCAUCUCUGCAGAACUCUACUAAUCAGGCCUUUAUGGUAGAGUGGCCAGACGGAAGCUACUCCUCAGUAAAAAGCACGUGGCAGCCCGCUUGGAGUUUGCUAAAAGGCACCUAAAGGACUCACAGACUAUGAGAAACAAGAUUCUCUGGUCUGAUGAAACCAAGAUUGUACGGACGGGAGCCGCAGCUGUUGACUGAGAUAAACAAUGCCAUUAUCACUGAAAUCCCACCUGAUGUGGUGGAAGUUGUCGAACCAGAUCAGAACGCCUUCGAGGACCACCUUCAGGUGAAACUGAACAUCGACAAGGCGCUGGAGAAACAGAAGGAGAGCUACCGGAGCAGAAUCAAGAAGGGGACCAAGUGCUACGACAUCCUUCCGAAUUACUUGGUUUGGAAGAAGGACGAAAGAAAGGGUUACCUCGGUGGAAGCCAACAAUCUUCUACAGUUGGAGCAGUUGGACGGUCGACCACUGAAAGCCCUGACGCCCUACACUUAUGUGAAGCCCAAUAGACAAAACCUGAGCCCUUGGACAGUGCCUCAGUAUAACCUGGUCUGAUGAUUCCAAUCCUGGCUGUUCCUGACCACCUGGUGGUGCUGCUGAUCCCAUUUAUGCUGUGGAGCCCUGACCUGACUUCACCGGUCAUGGUACCCUGUCCCAGA
rnacentral:lncRNA from 1 species